rnacentral:lncRNA from 1 species
GUUUGGCAUCGAAAUACCUGGGGGAAAUUCCCCACCCUUAGUGUGAACGCACCCCAAAUUGAUUGCAUCUUGUCGUCCUCGAGUCCCUCAGAAGGCCUGAAGCCCGCCCCUGUUGCGUUUGGAAAAGGCUCAUGGUGACAUCGACCCUUCACAGAAGGAACCUCAUAGACAGCAUUGCCCAAGCAUUCCAAGCUUAGAUGAAGGACGAGUCUAACGAUUGGCCAAGCCCACAAUCGCCCCAGGAAUAUAUCAUAGUUGGUAUGUUGCAGCUGUAAACAGAUGUGUGCUGACAUUCUUAGGAGUGCGCAGAAAGAAUGUGGAUAACAUGCAGAGACCCAUUGCGGGUGUCAUAUUCCUCAAUAUUUCUUCGUCAGGUGAUUAACGAGACCCGCUGUUGAUUUUGACGACAGACCUGUGUAACGGAAGGCAUCCACUGACGUGCUUACGGUGAGUGUUCAUGCCGCCAUCAUUUGUGUUGACUUUUGCAGGAAAGGAAUCAAUCCUGCAGGAUCUUGUCUGGGGAGGAUUGAAAAUUGGAGCCCUUCGGCUAAUUAAUGCAGUAGACUUUGCAGAUUGUCAGGAACGUGAUCUCACUACCCAGCCACCGGUGCUUGUGAGGCACACUUGCCAACAAUCAAGUGCGAUCGCAGGAUUCAGGUAUAGGAUCUUGAUCGUGAACAUGUCCCUUGUAUAGUACCUUGAACUUUGUGACCCUGGUCGGUGCAGUCUGCCUUGUAUCCUUACCCUCGUAUGGUUUCGUUGGCAGGGCAUGUAUUCUGCAGAUGCAAUUGGAUCCACUGUCCAUACUAGUCUGCGUGCAUCCCUCUGCUACAAAAUGUGAAGAGGCUUGCCGCAUAGUUGGCUGCCAAUGGCAGAUCCAGCAGGAAAUCGACAGUGGG